UGGUCUCGCCUACGUACUCUC
rnacentral:siRNA from 1 species